rnacentral:rRNA from 1 species
AGAGUUUGAUCCUGGCUCAGGAUGAACGCUGGCGGCGUGCUUAACACAUGCAAGUCGAACGGAGAGCCUAUGACGGAGUUUUCGGACAACUGAUUAGGUUUCUUAGUGGCGGACGGGUGAGUAACGCGUGAGGAACCUGCCUUGGAGUGGGGAAUAACACAGAGAAAUUUGUGCUAAUACCGCAUAAUGCAGUUGGGUCGCAUGGCCCUGACUGGCCAAAGAUUUAUCGCUCUAAGAUGGCCUCGCGUCUGAUUAGCUAGUUGGUGGGGUAACGGCCCACCAAGGCGACGAUCAGUAGCCGGACUGAGAGGUUGACCGGCCACAUUGGGACUGAGACACGGCCCAGACUCCUACGGGAGGCAGCAGUGGGGAAUAUUGGGCAAUGGGCGCAAGCCUGACCCAGCAACGCCGCGUGAAGGAAGAAGGCUUUCGGGUUGUAAACUUCUUUUAUAAGGGACGAACACAAUGACGGUACCUUAUGAAUAAGCCACGGCUAACUACGUGCCAGCAGCCGCGGU